rnacentral:rRNA from 1 species
UCCAGACUCCUACGGGAGGCAGCAGUGGGGGAUAUUGCACAAUGGGGGGAACCCUGAUGCAGCGACGCCGCGUGGGUGAAGGAGCGUUUCGGCGCGUAAAGCCCUAUCGGCAGGGAAGAAGGAGGACGGUACCUGACUAAGAAGCCCCGGCUAACUACGUGCCAGCAGCCGCGGUAAUACGUAGGGGGCAAGCGUUAUCCGGAUUUACUGGGUGUAAAGGGGGCGCAGACGGCAGCGUAAGCCAGGAGUGAAAGCCCGGGGCCCAACCCCGGGACUGCUCUUGGAACUGCGCGGCUGGAGUGCAGGAGGGGCAGGCGGAAUUCCUGGUGUAGCGGUGAAAUGCGUAGAUAUCAGGAGGAACACCGGUGGCGAAGGCGGCCUGCUGGACUGCAACUGACGUUGAGGCCCGAAAGCGUGGGGAGCAAACAGGAUUAGAUACCCCAGUA